rnacentral:rRNA from 1 species
UGGGGAAUAUUGGACAAUGGGCGCAAGCCUGAUCCAGCCAUGCCGCGUGAGUGAUGAAGGCCCUAGGGUUGUAAAGCUCUUUCACCGGUGAAGAUAAUGACGGUAACCGGAGAAGAAGCCCCGGCUAACUUCGUGCCAGCAGCCGCGGUAAUACGAAGGGGGCUAGCGUUGUUCGGAUUUACUGGGCGUAAAGCGCACGUAGGCGGACUUUUAAGUCAGGGGUGAAAUCCCGGGGCUCAACCCCGGAACUGCCUUUGAUACUGGAAGUCUUGAGUAUGGUAGAGGUGAGUGGAAUUCCGAGUGUAGAGGUGAAAUUCGUAGAUAUUCGGAGAAACACCAGUGGCGAAGGCGGCUCACUGGACCAUUACUGACGCUGAGGUGCGAAAGCGUGGGGAGCAAACAGG